rnacentral:rRNA from 1 species
GACGAACCGUGCGAACGUUAUUCGGAAUCACUGGGCUUAAAGCGCGUGUAGGCGGGAGGGCACGUCCGUCGCUGAAAUCCCCCGGCUCAACCGGGGAACGGGCGCGGAUACGACCUUCCUGGAGGGGCGUAGGGGGACCUGGAACUUCCGGUGGAGCGGUGAAAUGCGUUGAGAUCGGAAGGAACGCCCGUGGCGAAAGCGAGGUCCUGGACGCCUACUGACGCUGAGACGCGAAAAGCCAGGGGGAGCGAACGGG